AGAAUGAACGCUGGCGGCGCGCCUAAUACAUGCAAGUCGAGCGAGAAGACGUAGCAAUACGUUUGUAAAGCGGCGAACGGGUGAGGAAUACAUGGGUAACCUACCCUAGAGUGGGGAAUAACUAGCCGAAAGGUUAGCUAAUACCGCGUACGCUUCUUGGACUUCGGUUCAGGGAGGAAAGCGCUACCAAGGGUAGCGCGCUCUUGGAUGGGCUCAUGUCCUAUCAGCUUGUUGGUGAGGUAACGGCUCACCAAGGCUUCGACGGGUAGCUGGUCUGAGAGGACGAUCAGCCACACUGGCACUGCGACACGGGCCAGACUCCGUACGGAGGCGAGCAGUAAGGAAUAUGCGCAGUGGACGAACGCGCGACGACGACGCGACGGCCGCGGU
rnacentral:rRNA from 1 species